UCGAAUCUUUGAACGCACAUUGCGCCCGGCAGUAAUCUGCCGGGCAUGCCUGUCCGAGCGUCAUUUCAACCCUCGAACCUCCGUUUCCUCAGGGAAGCUCAGGGUCGGUGUUGGGGC
rnacentral:rRNA from 1 species